rnacentral:rRNA from 1 species
GAUGAACGCUGGCGGCGUGCCUAAUACAUGCAAGUCGAGCGAACAGACGAGGAGCUUGCUCCUCUGACGUUAGCGGCGGACGGGUGAGUAACACGUGGAUAACCUACCUAUAAGACUGGGAUAACUUCGGGAAACCGGAGCUAAUACCGGAUAAUAUAUUGAACCGCAUGGUUCAAUAGUGAAAGACGGUUUUGCUGUCACUUAUAGAUGGAUCCGCGCCGCAUUAGCUAGUUGGUAAGGUAACGGCUUACCAAGGCAACGAUGCGUAGCCGACCUGAGAGGGGGGGGGCCCACAGGGGAAGAGAAACGGGGCCAGGCCGCCGGAGGGAGGAGGAGGUGGGAAUUCGCCGGAAGAGGGGAAAGGUUGGAGGGACCAGGCGGGGGGGGGAGAUAAGGGUUUCGGGACCUAAAAACUUGUUUAUGGGGAAAAAAAAAAUGUGAAAUAAACAGGACCGGUCUUGAGGGUACCAAAGAAAAAACCCAGGGCAAACUCGGGG